GACGAACGCUGGCGGCGUGCUUAAUACAUGCAAGUCGAGCGAGGUUACUGUUUUGGAUCCCUUCGGGGUGAAGAAGCUUUAACCUAGCGGCGGACGGGUGAGUAACGCGUGGGUAACCUACCCCAAAGUCCGGGAUAACAGCGGGAAACCGCUGCUAAUACCGGAUGCCUUUACCUUGGGGCAUCUUGAGGUAAAGAAAGGCAACGCUUUGGGAUGGGCCCGCGUCCCAUUAGCUAGUUGGUGAGGUAACGGCUCACCAAGGCGACGAUGGGUAGCCGGCCUGAGAGGGUGGACGGCCACACUGGGACUGAGACACGGCCCAGACUCCUACGGGAGGCAGCAGUAGGGAAUAUUGCGCAAUGGACGGAAGUCUGACGCAGCGACGCCGCGUGAGCGAUGAAGGUCUUCGGAUCGUAAAGCUCUGUCCUUGGGGAAGAAGGUCUUCGGACUUGACGGUACCCAAGAAGAAAGCCCCGGCUAACUACGUGCCAGCAGCCGCGGUAAUACGUAGGGGGCGAGCGUUGUCCGGAAUUACUGGGCGUAAAGGGUGCGUAGGCGGCCCUUUAAGUCGGAUGUGAAAGCCCGCGGCUUAACCGCGGAAUGGCAUUCGAAACUGGAGGGCU
rnacentral:rRNA from 1 species